AGCGAUCGUUACUCAUAGUAGCGAAUAUAUCCGUCAACCCGCAAUGGAGCAGCGUGGUGGAUUAAGCUCUUAUCCUUCUCCUACAUGGGGAAAGAGGCCUAUGCCCAGCUGUGGGAUAU